UGCUCAAUGGACGGGCAGAAUUUAGUCAAACUCAGGCCCGAUCCAAUCAGAUUUUUGGGCCUCCCAAAACUCAGGCCCUAGAUCUGAGCCCGCUGAUAUUGCUUUCAGGAUCCCGAACUUUCUAAAACAUUUGAAAACUCUUCUAGCCAAACAAGACCGAAGGAUUUGGAGCGCAAUGCAUCAAUUAUAAACUAUAUCAUUAGGGG
rnacentral:lncRNA from 1 species